CCCGAUGAACCUGAAUAUCCGUUAUGGAAAAUUCAUCAUUAGAAUUGUAAUAUUUAAACAAUAUUAUAAUAAUAGUGUGCAUUUUUUCCAUAUAAGGACAUUGUAAUCUAUUAGCAUAUUAAAUUUAUCAUAAAAUUAUGUCAUAUAGUUUAUUUCAAUUAAAAUGCUUGCGUUUUAACAUGAAAUAAAAGUCAUAAAUUUGAUAAAGUGCUGAUAGAUUUAUAAGAAUACAGUGCGUUAAUUUUUCGGAAUUAUAUAAUGGCAUAAUUAUCAUUGAUUUUUAUGUUUAUUAUAUGCACUUGUAUGAUUAACAAUGCGAAAGAUUCAGGAUACCUUCGGG
rnacentral:rRNA from 1 species